CACUCCAAAGGAGAAGUUGGUCAAUGGAAUUUGGGCAAAAGUUUGGAUUUCUUUGAUUCUAGAGUGGAGGGUAAUGUGUGAGGCUGGUUUCACAAACCAGCAAUAACCUCCUGCUCUUGGCAGUGGAGG
rnacentral:SRP_RNA from 1 species